rnacentral:rRNA from 1 species
AUUGAACGCUGGCGGCAUGCCUUACACAUGCAAGUCGAACGGCAGCGGGCCUUCGGGUGCCGGCGAGUGGCGAACGGGUGAGUAAUGCAUCGGAACGUGCCAUUGAGUGGGGGGAUAACGUCGCGAAAGUUGCGCUAAUACCGCAUAUUCUGUGAGCAGGAAAGCAGGAGACCGCAAGGCCUUGCGCUCUUUGAGCGGCCGAUGUCAGAUUAGCUAGUUGGUGAGGUAAAGGCUUACCAAGGCGACGAUCUGUAGCGGGUCUGAGAGGAUGAUCCGCCACACUGGAACUGAGACACGGUCCAGACUCCUACGGGAGGCAGCAGUGGGGAAUUUUUGGACAAUGGGCGCAAGCCUGAUCCAGCCAUGCCGCGUGAGUGAAGAAGGCCU